GUUGUGCCGAAUUCUGCACCCCCGCCGUAAAAUGCACCCCCUGUCGGGAGCGCGCUUACGUCACUCGGUUGCAUCACCCGUCUCGAAAAGUAGCUAAACUCGGCUAAAAUCGCCUCUUUCGGCAUAAAAAUGUACAUAACAAGGUGAAUAAUCCAAGUUGUCUUUACUUUGGAUAUAUUAAUGGAUGGAUUAAUUGUGAUUCUUUAAUGAUUUCGCCGCCAUUGCCUUUAAUGAUUUCGUCGUCAUUCAAUCGCCUCUUUCGGCAGAAAAAUGUACAUAACAAGGUGAAUACUCCAAGUUGUCUUUACUUUGGAUAUAUUAAUGGAUGGAUUAAUUGUGAUUCUUCAAUGAUUUCGCCGUCAUUGCCUUUAAUGAUUUCGUCGUCAUUCAGAGACAUCAAGGAGAACGAAUGUUUGCUGCUUCACUCGACGGGAUCCAAUACAUGUAUUUUAAAAAUAUGACAUUUUCUUUAACUGUAAGAAGCUCAUGGGUGGAUGGAUGAAUACAUUAAUAAAUGAAUGCAUCUGA